GAGGAGAGGCCAAUCACACCAAGACUCUGAAACCCCCAGAGUUGAGGGAGGUCACGGUGGGAGCUGGGAGGCCGAGGCGCAGGUAGACCUGGAGUGGUUUGACACAGAAACCUUCUUUGGGAUCCUACAUAGGCAGUCUCUGUCAGUGAUGACCACAAUCAACCAGACCAAUGAGGAGCUCAAACUCCUCUGCCUCAAACUUGUGAGCGAAGCCCGUUCUCCCCGGCAGCUGUGGGGUGCUGAGCGUCGCAUCCCAGCCUCCGCUGACCAGUUUCGAGGGAGCCCCCAGAGGGAGCAGCAACAGGUUGGACUGUGUUCACACCUUCCCAUCUGGUCCCUUGUGCCCAAAGGCAACUCUCCCCCCUCACUGCGGCCCGGGCUCCCCUGUUAGCGCCUCUCCCACCUGUUCCAUCUCUCAGGCUCCAGAGUUUUUAGCCCCACCCCCACCCCUGAGGAUUUCUCACCCCCUUUGCCGCUGCUGCCGUGCCCACCCAGAAUGCUCUGGAGUUCCCCGGGAAAGCUGGUGUCCAGUGCCCGAGGCUGCUGUCCCUGGAGGCUGUAGCCCCUGCAGGUGAGCAGGCAGAGUUGUCUCUGACGCCAGGCUGCUGAGGCCGCUGCCAGGGCUGCAGAGGAGGCGGCCAGGCAGAGGGGGCACCUGGCAGGCGAGUACACAGCAAGCCUUAGUCACCAACUGAAGCUCCUUCGCCAAGACCUCCGUGCCAGGCAGGAGCAGUGGGGCUCCUUCUGCUCAGCGCUGAUGGUGGCUCAGCGGCUGCUGAAGGCACAGACAGGCCCCCGGCCCGCGAAGUCCUCCCAGGCUGGGGAGAACCCAGAAGGGUGUGUACCUGGUGAAUCUGAGAGAAGCUUGGUGACAUCUGCGCUAGGGGAGGAGCAAAUGUGGCUU